GCCUCUAUAGCAUAGUGGUAGUGCAUUCGCUUCGUAAGUGAAUGAAAGGUCGUGAGUUCAAUCCUCACUAGGGGCU
rfam:Ipomoea nil DNA, scaffold: scaffold0188, cultivar: Tokyo-kokei standard.